rnacentral:misc_RNA from 1 species
AUCUCCCUUCUCUCAACUUUUCCUUAUUAAGUAUUUUUUACACCUUCCCAUGAAUGAAUUCAUCCAUUAUUUGAUCCACCAUUGUAUUUCUGCUCCUCCAGGUUAGCAUUCUCCUUUUUGCAUUGUUGAUCUGCAUAGAUGUCUUUUUUUCACCGCUCAACACUCAUUGCCAUACAUCCAUAGUUCUUAAAGGCUCAAGGCGCACUAAG